rnacentral:rRNA from 1 species
GACGAACGCUGGCGGCGUGCUUAACACAUGCAAGUCGAACGGAAAGGCCCUGCUUUUGUGGGGUGCUCGAGUGGCGAACUGGUGAGUAACACGUGAGUAACCUGCUCUGGACUUUGGGAUAACUUCAAGAAACUGGGGCUAAUACCUGAUAGGACCUCCUGCUGCAUGGUGGGGGUUGGAAAGUUGCGGUGGUUGGGGAUGGACUCGGGGCUUUUCAGCUUGUUGGUGGGGUAGGGGAUUACCAAUGCUUUGACGGGUAGCCGGCCUGGGAGGGUGACCGGGCACAUUGGGACUGAGAAGCGGGCCAGACUCCUAAGGGAGGAAGCAGUGGGGGAUAUUGCAAGAUGGGCGGAAGCAUGGAGCAGCAACGCCGCGUGGUGGAUGACGGCCGUCGGGUUGGAAAGCGCUUUAGCCUGUGACGAAGCGGGAGUGACGGUAAUGGGUAAAGAAGCACCGGCUAACUACGUG